CUUCGGCUUGGGCCUGGCUCAAGGCCCGCCUUUCUUUGGCUUUGGGUUGAACAUUUUUGAACGGUUAUUGUUGCUUGUCUACCUGCUCUUCUCCGUCUCUCGCAUUGCCUUCCAGUCCAUCAUCUUCUUCGUUGCCAUCGUAUCGUCUUCUGGAUGCGCUUUGAAUAUUAACAACCAAUUUCGAUCAUUAUUUGAUUCAUUUUCAGCUUCAUUUGGAUGGCGACAGACACUGGUUGCUGGUUUUCCCUUUUCCUUUUCCUUUUUAUCAUUGUUAUUUUUAUUUCUUUCCCUCAUCCACCAUCCUGCUGUGAUCGGCAUUCAUAAUGUGGGUCCGGUCCGUUUCCGCAGCGACGACUGAUCAAGUGGUGGGUCUGUAUCUGCAUAUGUUUGCCUCUUUAUCUCUCUGUGUGUGUGUGUGUGUGUGUGUCUCUGUAACUGUGUAUGCAUAUGGGUGCAUAUGGAGAUCAACUUCUGCUGACAAUGGAACUUCCUCUGCCUGCAUGUUUUGUAUGCGGACAGCACUGUCGCUUACGUUUUGCACUGGAGAUCGCUGGAUAACGGACAACGGUCUGCGAUUGAAAUGAAUGGAGGUUACCUAAUACUCGUGGACUGGAAAUGGAGCAAGGGAAGGCCAGUUACUUCACCAUGCAAAUAUGUUGCUAUAGCCUUAUAAAUACGGCGUGAAGCUAACAGCGACUGUGACCUACGGCAUACUCUGUUGGACAUCUCAUUUACAUAAUACAUACAUAUACACAUA